rnacentral:rRNA from 1 species
GACGAACGCUGGCGGCGUGCUUUACACAUGCAAGUCGAACGGUGAAGGUGGAGCUUGCUCCACCGGAUCAGUGGCGAACGGGUGAGUAACACGUGGGCAACCUGCCCCUAACUUUGGGAUAACUACUCGAAAGAGUAGCUAAUACCGGAUAUGAAGUCUGUAGGCAUCUAUGGAUUUGGAAAGUUUUUCGGUUAGGGAUGGGCCCGCGGCCUAUCAGCUUGUUGGUGAGGUAGUGGCUCACCAAGGCGACGACGGGCAGCCGGCCUGAGAGGGCGACCGGCCACACUGGGACUGAGACACGGCCCAGACUCCUACGGGAGGCAGCAGUGGGGAAUAUUGCGCAAUGGGCGAAAGCCUGACGCAGCAACGCCGCGUGCGGGAUGAAGGCCUCCGGGUUGUAAACCGCUUUCAGCAGGGAAGAAGCGAAAGUGACGGUACCUGCAGAAGAAGCACCGGCUAACUACGUGCCAGCAGCCGCAGUAA